UGCCUGGCGACGAGAGCGCGGUGGUCCCACCUGACCCCAUGCCGAACUCAGAAGUGAAACGCCGUAGCGCCGAUGGUAGUGUGGGGUCUCCCCAUGUGAGAGUAGGGAAUUGCCAGGCAU
rnacentral:rRNA from 4 species